rnacentral:rRNA from 1 species
GAUGAACGCUAGCGGGAGGCCUAACACAUGCAAGCCGAGCGGUAUUGUUUCUUCGGAAAUGAGAGAGCGGCGUACGGGUGCGGAGCACGUGUGCAACCUGCCUUUAUCUGGGGGAUAGCCUUUCGAAAGGAAGAUUAAUACUCCAUAAUAUAUUGAUUGGCAUCAAUUAAUAUUGAAAGCUCCGGCGGAUAGAGAUGGGCACGCGCAAGAUUAGCUAGUUGGUGAGGUAACGGCUCACCAAGGCGAGGAUCUUUAGGGGGCCUGAGAGGGUGGUCCCCCACACGGGUACUGAGACACGGACCAGACGCCUACGGGAGGCAGCAGUGAGGAAUAUUGGUCAAUGGGUGCAAGCCUGAACCAGCCAUCCCGCGUGAAGGACGACUGCCCUAUGGGUUGUAAACUUCUUUUGUAUAGGGAUAAACAACAUUACGUGUAAUGUCUUGACGGUAUCGUAAGAAGAAGGAUCGGCUAACUCCGUGCCAGCCGCCGCGGUAACAC